rnacentral:rRNA from 1 species
AGAGUUUGAUCCUGGCUCAGAACGUACGCUGGCGGCACGCCUAACACAUGCAAGUCGAACGCAGUAGCAAUACUGAGUGGCGAACGGGUGAGUAUAAUGUGGGUAUCUGCCUUUUGGUUUGGAAUAACACGAGGAAACUUGUGCUAAUACCGGAUAAGCCUUCACAGGGAAAGUUUUAUACGCCAAAAGAUGAGCCCGCACUUGAUUAGCUAGUUGGUAAGGUAAUGGCUUACCAAGGCUACGAUCAAUAGCUGAUCUGAGAGGAUGAUCAGCCACAUUGGGACUGAGACACGGCCCAGACUCCUACGGGAGGCAGCAGUGGGGAAUCUUGCACAAUGGGGGAAACCCUGAUGCAGCGAUGCCGCGUGAGUGAAGAAGGCCCUUGGGUUGUAAAGCUCUUUCGUCGGGGAAGAAAAUGACUGUACCCGAAUAAGAAGGUCCGGCUAACUUCGUGCCAGCAGCCGCGGUAAUACGAAGGGACCUAGCGUAGUUCGGAAUUACUGGGCUUAAAGAGCACGUAGGUGGUUAGAAAAGUUGGUGGUGAAAUCCCAAGGCUUAACCUUGGAACUGCCACUAAAACUUUUUAACUAGAGUGUGAUAGAGGUAAGCGGAAUUUCUAGUGUAGAGGUGAAAUUCGUAGAUAUUAGAAAGAACACCAAUUGCGAAGGCAGCUUUCUGGAUCAUUACUGACACUGAGGUGCGAAAGCAUGGGUAGCGAAGAGGAUUAGAUACCCUCGUAGUCCAUGCUGUAAACGAUGUGUGCUAGACGUUGGAAACUUACGUUUUCAGUGUCGCAGCGAAAGCGUUAAGCACACCGCCUGGGGAGUACGACCGCAAGGUUAAAACUCAAAUGAAUUGACGGGGACCCGCACAAGUAGUGGAGCAUGUGGUUUAAUUCGAAGAUACGCGCAGAACCUUACCAACACUUGACAUGUUCGUCGCGACUCUAAGAGAUUAGAGUCUUCGGUUCGGCCGGACGAAACACAGGUGCUGCAUGGCUGUCGUCAGCUCGUGUCGUGAGAUGUUGGGUUAAGUCCCGCAACGAGCGCAACCCUUACUUUUAGUUGCCACCAUUUAGUUGGGCACUCUAAAAGAACUGCCAGUGAUAAGCUGGAGGAAGGUGGGGAUGACGUCAAGUCCUCAUGGCCCUUACGUGUUGGGCUACACACGUGCUACAAUGGUAUCUACAACAGGAAGCAAAACAGCGAUGUUAAGCAAAUCCCGAAAAGAUACCUCAGUUCGGAUUGCACUCUGCAACUCGAGUGCAUGAAGCUGGAAUUACUAGUAAUCGUGGAUCAGCGUGCCACGGUGAAUACGUUCCCGGGUCUUGUACACACCGCCCGUCACACCAUGGGAGUUGGUUCUACCUUAAGGCAAAGCUUAAAACCUUUGACCACGGUAUAGUCAGCGACUGGGGUGAAGUCGUAACAAGGUAACC